rnacentral:misc_RNA from 1 species
AAAGUCGUAACAAGGUUUCCGUAGGUGAACCUGCGGAAGGAUCAUUAUUGAAGUUGAUUCGGGUUGUCGCUGGCUCUCAGGAGCAUGUGCACGCUCGUUCAUAUUCAUUCUCUCUUGUGCACCUUUAGCUAGACUAUGAAUACCUCUCGAGUGAAAAUCUCGGAUUGAGGGCUGCGCUUGACCGUGCUUCCCUUGCAUUUUCAUGGUCUAUGUCUUCAUAUAACCCUUUGUAUGUCUUUGAAUGUCUUUUUUGUGGGUCUUUGACCUAUAAAAUCUAGUACAACUUUCAACAACGGAUCUCUUGGCUCUC